rnacentral:rRNA from 1 species
AUACGGAGGAUCCGAGCGUUAUCCGGAUUUAUUGGGUUUAAAGGGAGCGUAGGUGGAUUGUUAAGUCAGUUGUGAAAGUUUGCGGCUCAACCGUAAAAUUGCAGUUGAAACUGGCAGUCUUGAGUACAGUAGAGGUGGGCGGAAUUCGUGGUGUAGCGGUGGAAUGCUUAGAUAUCACGAAGAACUCCGAUUGCGAAGGCAGCUCACUAGACUGCAACUGACACUGAUGCUCGAAAGUGUGGGUAUCAAACAGGAUUAGAUACCCUGGUAGUCCACACAGUAAACGAUGAAUACUCGCUGUUUGCGAUAUACAGUAAGCGGCCAAGCGAAAGCAUUAAGUAUUCCACCUGGGGAGUACGCCGGCAACGGUGAAACUCAAAGGAAUUGACGGGG